rnacentral:pre_miRNA from 1 species
AAGCUACUCCCUCCGUUCAGAAUUACUUGUCUUGAAUAUGGAUGUAUCUAGAGCUAAAAUACAUCUAGAUACAUCCAUUUCUGCGACAAGUAAUUCCGAAUGGAGGGAGUACAAG